AUGGCAGAGGAAACUCCUCCCUCCACACAGGAAGUGAGAUCUGGAGACAGAUAGUCAGAGAUGAUUGGCAACAGAACAGAAAAAAAUCCUAGUUGGAGUGUACAAUGAUGGAGAAAUCCUGAGGUUUCCAACAAUGGAAUGAAAAAUCUGCCCCUCAUGGAGCAAGGCCAAACAGAUCCUAAAUUGCCUGUGACAGGAUCAGGUAGGCCGCAAAGCGAAAUAUCGUGAAAACAAAAGGAGGGUUACUCCCAGCACGC
rnacentral:RNase_P_RNA from 1 species